AGAGUUUGAUCCUGGCUCAGAACGUACGCUGGCGGCACGCCUAACACAUGCAAGUCGAACGAAGUAGCAAUACUUAGUGGCAGACGGGUGAGUAACAUGUAGGUAUCUGCCCUUUGGCCUGGAAUAACACGAGGAAACUUGUGCUAAUACCGGAUAAGUCUUUACGGAGAAAGCUUUAUGCACCAUUGGAUGAGCCUGCACUUGAUUAGUUUGUUGGUGGGGUAAUGGCCUACCAAGACUGUGAUCAAUAGCUGAUUUGAGAGGAUGAUCAGCCACAUUGGGACUGAGACACGGCCCAAACUCCUACGGGAGGCAGCAGUGGGGAAUCUUGCACAAUGGAGGAAACUCUGAUGCAGCGAUGCCGCGUGAGUGAAGAAGGCCCUUGGGUUGUAAAGCUCUUUCGUCGGGGAAGAAAAUGACUGUACCCGAAUAAGAAGGUCCGGCUAACUUCGUGCCAGCAGCCGCGGUAAUACGAAGGGACCUAGCGUAGUUCGGAAUUACUGGGCUUAAAGAGUUCGUAGGUGGUUGAAAAAGUUAGUGGUGAAAUCCCAGAGCUUAACUCUGGAACUGCCAUUAAAACUUUUCAGCUAGAGUAUGAUAGAGGAAAGCAGAAUUUCUAGUGUAGAGGUGAAAUUCGUAGAUAUUAGAAAGAAUACCGAUUGCGAAGGCAGCUUUCUGGAUCAUUACUGACACUGAGGAACGAAAGCAUGGGUAGCGAAGAGGAUUAGAUACCCUCGUAGUCCAUGCCGUAAACGAUGUGUGUUAGACGUUGGAAAUUUAUUUUCAGUGUCGCAGCGAAAGCGAUAAACACACCGCCUGGGGAGUACGACCGCAAGGUUAAAACUCAAAUGAAUUGACGGGGACCCGCACAAGUAGUGGAGCAUGUGGUUUAAUUCGAAGAUACGCGCAGAACCUUACCAACACUUGACAUGUUCGUCGCGACUCUAAGAGAUUAGAGUUUUCGGUUCGGCCGGACGAAACACAGGUGCUGCAUGGCUGUCGUCAGCUCGUGUCGUGAGAUGUUGGGUUAAGUCCCGCAACGAGCGCAACCCUCACUUUUAGUUGCCAUCAUUAAGUUGGGCACUCUGAAAGAACUGCCAGUGAUAAGCUGGAGGAAGGUGGGGAUGACGUCAAGUCCUCAUGGCCCUUACGUGUUGGGCUACACACGUGCUACAAUGGUAUCUACAACAGGAAGCAAGACUGCGAAGUUAAGCAAAUCCCUAAAAGAUACCUCAGUUCGGAUUGCACUCUGCAACUCGAGUGCAUGAAGCUGGAAUUACUAGUAAUCGUGGAUCAGCGUGCCACGGUGAAUGCGUUCCCGGGUCUUGUACACACCGCCCGUCACACCAUGGGAGUUGGUUCUACCUUAAGGCAAGGUUUCAAACCCUUGACCACGGUAUAGUCAGCGACUGGGGUGAAGUCGUAACAAGGUAACC
rnacentral:rRNA from 2 species